UAAUUUAAUUUUAAAAAAUAGAAAAAAUUCGAAAAAACGAUGAAACGAGAAGAAGUCCCACGGGGAAGCAAAGUCACCUGGGCGAAUGCCGAGCACUGUGCGUAUGCACACAACAUACACGAGAUGUGUGCACAAUGCGCAAGUCCCAUCCGUAUGCAUGUGUGGGGACAAGUCCUGCGGAGGUCUUGUCAUGCGCAAACAGGUCAUCCAUGCGCCACUU
rnacentral:lncRNA from 1 species